AUCACGCAGACUAGCUGCUGGCAUACCACUCAGCACAGGCGCAUCAGGCGCAUCACUUUGUACCCCUGACAUUUUAAGUAGGCCCAGAUUUCUCUACAGCAAGACGAUGCCAUUAGCUGCCAAGGGUGUGAUCUACUAUUACCACUUUGGGUUUUAUCUACACAUUAGAGUUGUCUUCUAUCUUUUAGUUGUCAGACAGCAUAAAUCAUCCUCCAAUUUGCAGAUGCCACUUGCUCUGUUGCAGAAGUGUCCUUCAGUGUUACUUCACUUUUCCUGCAGGUGAGGUGUUCCUUGUGGCCACACUGCCAGUAGACCACAUGCCCCCACCUCAUGCCUUUACUCCAGGACUGAUGGCUGCUGACAUAAUGAUCCACAAGCUGAGAUCAGCACCUCUUCCUUAAAAAUUGAUUUAUUUUUGUGGGUUUACAGUUUAUAUGAAGCUUUCUGAUCAUGGCCCGGAUGUUCUUCUGAGAGUCUUCUACAGUAAUUAAUGCUUGUUCUGCUGAAAGUCACUACUUCCAUUUGUGCACUAUCUUGCAACAUUCUGCCUGGAAAACGCAAAUUAUUUGUAUAUUAUGUUCAUUGCCACAGGGAAAGAAGAAGAACCAUGGAGCAGUUGAUGCAUUCUGGACGCUAUGGAGAGCAUUGAUGUUUUGAUUACAAAAUAGAACUUCACAAGCCAAGGAGUAGCAUGGAGUUGCCUUCCUGCAGCCUCUCUCACGCUCUUGUGUUCUUCCAUCACGCCCGUUAACAACUACACUAGAAACAAGCAGCAGAUUUUUUUCCACUCGAAGAGAUUUUUCAUGUGCUGAAGGGUAAAGUAACAGAAAAUUUGCAGAAUGGCCACAAGAAUCAUACAUAUCCUGGGGGACGUAUCUGCUAGAGAAAUUACUGGAUGAAGACAUUCACACACAGGAGGACUGGAGACUGAAGCAAAACAUGAGGACCUGUGUGGCUGCACAAUGACCUUGGAUCAAGAGCGACACCCCAGGUGACACCCCAACCACCUGCAUGGAAGACAAGAGAAACCGUGAUGAGGAUUGACCCAACAGAGUGCAGUGGCUCCCCUGGAUCUUACAGAGGCCUAUUGAGAUCUAUAGAUCUGUAUUCAAGGACUCCUGAAUAGAUCUCAUGACUGGCCUGACAAACUAUGGCUGCUACAAAGGAGACAUUGCCAGACACUGUAAAUCUGUUGCAGACCUCAUGUAGCUGAGCGUCGCCUUGCAGGCUGCCCUGCAAGUGCAACACCACACUCAGGAGCUGAAAGUAAACCCAUGGAGUGCUGGAAGCCAUAUAAACGAUUGGUAAAACAUGCAUAAAGAAGGCAGGCUGAUGAUCUAUGGGAUUUUCUUUGUUGAAGCAAGCACAGCCCGAAGCCUGGUCUGUUAAAACAACCCCGCAGGUUUGUCAGUCUUCAAAUGCAGGCUGUAGGCACAGCAGAUAAGGGGAUUUAUGUGUUCUUGUUAGAAAUAUAAAUGAAGUCUUAGAGAAUCAGACUGGUUCUGUGGUUGAAUAUGAAUAGAAGUAAACACACUUUAAAGUAUUUUAUACCUGGUUGCAUGUCAAGGCUAAGCUCCAACUUUUUGUACAGAAUGGCAACAUCGGUUCUCUAUCAUUAUAAGAUCUCUGUGCGUUCUGUUCUCGUCUCUGAAACCUCAGUCAUUUUUGAUUGACAGGAAGAUUACCUAAUAAACCUUCUCCACAAACUAAUUAAUCACUGUGAAUACAACACUAAAUUGGCAAGCAUAAAAAAGCAAAUGAGAUGGGUGUUGAAGACCGUUUUCAAAUGACCUUAGUUGAAAGCCAAGUACAGAGUGCUAAAAGCAUCAGUAACGUAAGGCUGCUGGUAAACUUCUUCACUGGGGUAGGUGGCUUCACCCACUGUGAGGGUGGGCUGUGAUGUCAGGACAUGAUCAGACAGGAGCCCAUCCAAUUGAUGGGACUGGGACACCACCGCUCCCAAUAGAGCUUGUGAGGUGGACCUCCUUUAUAGCUCUCCUGCCCUUUUUUUGCAGCUAUUGAUAGCAAAUACUUCUCACAAAUUGAGUAUUGUUACAGUCAUUAUUAUUGUAAUGCAGAAAUCCCAGUGUGCCCAUAAGCUUUAUUUCACAACCAGAGGGCUCCUCGGCACAAGGCCUUGCGAGUGCCUCCUCCCCAGACACAGGUUUCAUCAAGAUAAAGUCAUCACAGGGUGAUAUUCCUGACAAGUUUAUCAAAGUCUGAGACUUAGGUCAACAUGAGAUCUUAAUUCUCCACUUUCUUCUUUCUUUUCUGAUGAUUAAAUACCAUGCAUUGCCUUAUUUAUGGCUCAGGUAUAGGGCACACUAGCAUCACGGCAGGAAAUGCAGUUGCCAACUCUUUCAGCCAGGAGAAAGCUCUCCUGGGUUUGUUCUACUGGGGCUACUCAGAGAGGCCAACACUAGGCUUUGCUUGGGCAGCAGAGCAGGACAUGUGGCCUCUGCCAUGUGGGGAGGAGAGCUUAGAAAUUCAGAAGGAAAUGAAAACAAAACCACGACAGUGAACAAAACCAGUGUGAAGGGUAUGGUGUUUUUGGUGGGUUUUUUUUUUUUCAGCAGAUGUAGAAAUCAAGAGUUGUGUUUCUAUCUGUAAUUACUGACUGCUGAAGCCUGUUUUGGUAUGCUUUCAGCUUAACACCAGCACCAUGUUUCAGUAACGCAUUACUUUAUCCAUUCAUCCUGAGAGUGGAGCAACACAGGCUCUCUCCCCUGCAGUUCCCAAAAGGGUAUCCACAAACCAUCUUAGGGGCUGGCUAACUUUUUGUUCCUGAUCUUUUUCUUCUUUUUCUUCUCCUGCACAAACCAAUGGCAGUUGCUACCCUGUGCCUAUGGGCAGAUAGGAACAGUGAAUAACUGGAAUCCAGCUGGUGCUUCUGCUUUUCACUUAACGUUUGAAUAGCACUUAAAAUAAUAAUCUAAAAUGUGCGGCCUUUGAACUGCCUUCCCCUCCAGCUUUGUGGGGCUGUACAUGAGCUCAAAGGGAGCCAAGCACAAUGGGCAUUUACCGGGCAAGAAAUCUUCAGUGGGGCUCAAAACAAACUCAGCCUGAGCCAGAUGGCUGGUUUUCUCCAUAGCAUUUGCAUCUUAUUCCCUUCUCCAUCCCACAGGUUCAAGUGCACACUUGGUCCCAUGGCACACUCCUCUGCACAAGCUACAUCUCAUCACCAACUACAACCAUUGCCCUGCACAACAAGGGAUGGCAGUGGCAUGGCUGCUGCUCUCCAGCCGCUGCUCAGCCUCCCACAGCCCCCCCUUCUGUUCCCCUGCCAGCCCCUUCCCCUCCCCACUUCCAUCCUGACUGCUCAGAGGCAGCAGAGAGAGGGAGAAAGGAAUUAUUUAUUGUAUGCCUGUUGAAAAUGAAAGGCUUUUACAUUUUAAUGAGCACUAAAUAGGAGCGAGGAAAUAUUGUUCAUUAGCUGUAAUCUGUGGAAUUGCUUGAGUGAACUUCCUUUGGAGGCCGCUUUAAACGGUUCACUCAAGUAAAGCAGUUUGUAUGGUAAUUAAGGGAGCAUUUUUCUGUCAACAUCUGUGCCGCUAUUUAUAACGCUGAAGGUAUCUUAUUACUCCACCACAGAAACAUUAAAGAGGAUGGGCAGAGGGAUGGUUGUAUUUUUUUUAAAUAUAUAUAUGUACGUAUGUGUGUGUGUAUAUAUAUAUUAUGCAUAUAACGUUUCUUUCUCUCUUCAAAACCUCUCCCUUUCUCUUGCUUCCUUUUUCCUUUCUUAUUCUCUUCCCGCUACCCCUCAAUUUGCCAAGAAAAACACCCUGUCCAGUGUUUUGUGAAAGUAAGGAUUAUCAUCCUGACAUCUUUCCAUUAAUCAUAGCCUUUGUUCAGCAGCCAGGCAAGGAGACUCAAUCUGCUCGGCAAAAACAAGAGGCCCAUGUCUUUGGAAACCACUCUCAUCUCUCAUCACUCCACAGUACUGGAGAUGCCUUUUGGCUGCGUUAUCAUGGUGUCCCUAGGGGGAUGGCACAGCAUGGCUGUAUCCUCAGUGCAUCCCUCUGGGAAGCCUAGCCCAAGCUGCUGUUGCGCUGCAGGAGUGGCAAGUGGUUGCAGGGGGAAAUAACCUUUCUCAUGUUUGGUCUCAUCACAAUGAGGUUGAUGCUUCAAUUUUCUGCUGUAAGGCUGCUUGGGAGAAGAGUUUGGGUACUAAAAAUGGACUUAUUUUUCUGCGUACAAAAAUAGAAAGAUGUGUGUUUUCAUUUGGUUGGUGGUUGGACUUGCUGACCUUAAUGGUGUUUUCCAACCUUUAUGAUUCUAUGAUAACACUGAUCAUUUCAACCUUGAGCAGCCUG